UACGAAGGGGGCUAGCGUUGUUCGGAAUUACUGGGCGUAAAGGGCUCGUAGGCGGCCAACUAAGUCGGAUGUGAAAUCCCCAGGCUUAACCUGGGAACUGCAUCCGAUACUGGAUGGCUUGAAUUCGGGAGAGGGAUGCAGAAUUCCAGGUGUAGCGGUGAAAUGCGUAGAUAUCUGGAGGAAUACCGGUGGCGAAGGCGGCAUCCUGGACCGGCAUUGACGCUGAUGAGCGAAAGCCAGGGGAGCAAACGGG
rnacentral:rRNA from 1 species